UGCUCGCGAGCUCGCAGAAAACAAACGCAUUUUUCGUUUGUACGAAUUAUUUCGGGUGUUUCGUCUCGUUGCGGUCGGUCGUGUUUGUUUUUUCCUGAUGGUGCUAAACCUUCGCGGUCGAGGUUAAAGUGAAAAUUUAGGUGAAAACUUAUUGAGGAAAAGUCAGUGUAUUGCUUCUGAAAAACGUCCUCCCGGUAAUUAAAAGUGCGCGAAAAACUGUGGAAAAUUAAACAAGUUGUUCGAAAACAAACUCAUCUGUCCGAACUGAUUAUUAUCUCCCAAACCCAAGUGCGCGGUACAGUGAGUGAAAUCACCUAUUUGGUACAGAUAGAUACUAGACGGAGUACAUACCUAUAGCCGAAGAACGCAAGAAAUCUGGAGCCACGCGACGGAGCCCAUUGAUGCCAUUGAAAAUGAUGACAACAAGUGGGGGAAAAUCGAUAUGGUACGGCAACAACAAGAGACCAUUGAUUGCACCUCAUUGCCACCCCCAUCGCUGCUGGUCGGUGUUGAUGUUAUUAUCAGCUGCCGUCGGAUUGUUGGGGCUACUGUUUGUGGAUGGAACCUCGGCUAAAAGUUUGUCUCUUACCGGAGAAAACUGUAUUCUUCGCGAACCUCUGUACAACAACACCUUCAACUUGAAGGGACUGGACUCGGAGCUGGCCCAUCACAUCAGUUCCGAUAUCAACGAUGUUUUCAUAUUCGAUGUGUGCGACCAUCUGAAGGUCAAGUGCAACGGAAUAGAAAAUGCAACGGCCUGUCUGCGGCGCAAAAAGGGCGGGGAGCAAGUGUUGGCCAUGGAAUCGAGCCUGCAUCUGCUGGAUGGUCGGAUUCAUUUCAACUUUUCCGGUGGACAGAGCUGUAAGAAUGGAAAAAAUUUCUCCUUGGAUAUUCUUAUGAUGUGUAGCUACACGCCUGUGGGAGUUCCGCUUACCGUUAUUCCGUACACGCAGGAUCAGUGUAACUAUUUCAUGUUCUGGACCUCGCCGCUAGUUUGUCUCCCGCUGCCAGAAAAGGUUAAACAGAAUGAAUGCUCCGUCAAGGAUGCGUCUGGCCAUGUGUUCAAUCUGCUUCCGCUGAGUCAUUUGAACCAUCACGUCCCGGAUAGGAAUGGUUCUCACUUUUUUGUGGCCGCUUGUAAACCGGUCCACUAUGGCCAUAUGACAAUGUGCCCUCCGGGAAGCAGCGUUUGCCAUGUAAAUAAGGCUGAAGAUGACUACACUAAGAAGUAUCACGAUUUCGGCCAAACCGAUCCCAAUCCUUCGUUGGAGGGCGAUAAGCUGGUGAUGAAUUUGAAAUCUGGUGAAGGAUCGUGUCAGGAUUCGAAGAUCAUAUUCGAGUGUGAUCCGGCGGCUGUCGAGGGGUCACCGGAGUACGUUGGCCAGGAAAAAUGUUGCCACAUUUUUUCGUGGCGCACCCAGCUGGCUUGCAAGAAAAAGGAGUCCUGUGCCGUGGUAGAUCCGAUCACCGGACUGCUGUUCAAUAUGACCCAGUUGGCGAACAAAAAGUACACUGUGACCGCGAGCAACUCAAGCUACGAGUUCGGAAUAUGCCAGCUAACCGAUACCAAGUGUCCAGCCAAGUCCGGGGCCUGUCAACUGACCAACAAUGGUUCCCAGACCAUCAGCUUAGGAACUAUCAAUGACGAGUUAUCGUACAACAUAACGGGGGCUCCUUUCCUGCAAUAUAGUUCAGGAUCAAUCUGCAAAAACGAUCAACGUUGGUCCACCAAAAUUGAGUUCAUCUGUGAAACGGACAAGGAUGAAAAGGCCCCACCCAAAGUGGUGGAAAACUCAAAUUGCGAACUGAUCAUCCAAAUCGAAACGGAGCUUGCGUGUACCAAGGAGAUUUCCUGUUCGGCCAUGAAUUUGUCCAGCGAUCAGGAAGUUGAUCUGAGUCUGUUGAUAUCCGCGGAGCACAACUAUGAAGCUUCCAUCAACGGUAGCCUGGAUAUCGCAAAAGAUCCCAAAAACAAGUUUUUCUUAAACGUUUGUCGACCGUUGCUAUCCACUUAUGGUUUAGGAUGCCCCGGUGGAUCUGCAGCUUGUAUGGCCGUCCAAGGACCCAACGAUCCUACCCCAACGAAAGAACUAUCGCUAGGUUAUCCGGAUGUUUCCUUGACUAUAGUUGGCGAUCGUGCUCAGCUGAAGUAUUUAAGGGGAAGUAAUUUCUCCAAGGACAAUUCGACUCAGCUAUCGUCCGAGGUUGAGUUCUACUGCCAACCGAAAGCCGGCCAUGGUCACCCAGUGCUACAGGAAAUCAUGCACGAUUGUCAUUACCGAUUUGAAUGGGCAACGAAUGUCAUGUGCCCAGAUGUAGCAGCUUCCUUCGAUGGGUCCCAGUGUACCAUUAAGAACACCGAAACGAGUGAAACUGUUGAUCUGAAAAAGUUAUUCAACAAUGGUGAACUAGUGAUCAACCCUAGCAAGAACAGUGUCUCGCAGGAAAUGAGGGACGGCAAAAUUCGGCUGUGCGAUAAAAAGAUCACGGCCGUUGUGGGUUAUAAGGACGCUGGGGUAAAGUUCUUCUUCACGGUGCCGGAUGCGAGCUGUGAGGGAACUGGUGGCAAUGUGAAUGUUAAUCUACGAGUCGGCUGUGGCGUUGAGGAGAGAUUCGUCGUUAAUGAGCAAAGUUCUUGCCAUCUGAUACUGACGCAAGUUUCGCCACAAAUCUGUGCCCUGGUCGGAGCAGCAACACCAGCAGCGUCUGAGACCGGUAGCGGCAAUUCGGGGACAACCAGUACAACUCCGAAACCGACACCGGCGGAUAACCACGGAGUUCCAUCGGAGAAGACGCCAACGACGACGACGACGACCAAGGCACCGGCAACCUCGAGCGAGGAACCGAACAAGAGCAAUCAAGAGCCAAUUGUUGACAGUUCCGGUGGCAGUGCUGUGGGUGUCAUCUUAGCGGUACUGACGGCACUUUCUUUGGCCGGAGCCGCCGGGUUCAUGCUGUUACGAAAUCCGGAACGUCGCGAAUAUCUGCGAUCGCUGUUCGGGCGCCGCAACGUCCUGGUCCAGUACUCGAGGGGUGAAUUAGAAUUUGAUUAGGUAGCCGCACAUCUCCUCCUUUUCAAGCUGUUGUUAUGUUUUGUAGCCUUUCACGAAGCAUUUCUGUACAGGUCCGGAGCAAUGAAGAAGCGAACCUGUUGAUGAACCCCACGUCAAUGUCAGAGAGUGACGAUGAGAUGCUUAUAUAAAUUGAUGGAUAAUCGUAAGAUGAUAAGGCAUGAACUCACUUCUCAGCUAAAGACACAACAACACAUGAAACAACGCAUGAGCCUUAAGGUAAAUAAUUUCAAAAAAACACGCUCUUACAGGAUGCCAAGGGACUAAAUUAGUGUGCUUUAAGAGUAGGAAACUAUAGCAAAGUAACGGAACGAGAGAGAAGAAAACGAUUUGAUACGAGUAGUUCUAAUAUUUGUGAUUCAAAAGUAGGUUUAUGCAAACGGUCCAGAAAGAAGGCUAAAUUUAAUUUGUUUACUUAUUUAAAGUUAAAAUUGAUUUCCUCCAGCGUCAAACGAGCGCAGCUCGACAUUGUUACUUAAUUUAGGAACGAAACUCUAAUUGGUUCCGAUGAGUGAGAUUUUGGUUGUGUAUUGAAAAUUGUAUUGCUUUAGUUUUUUUUUAUUUAACUUGCCUCAGACUAUGUUUUAAAUCUUAUAAAAAAAAACAGAGGAAAGCACUAGUAACGGUAGACUUGAACAAAAAGAAAUCCAAAACGAAACUUAAGACAAAGAGAAAGGAUCGAGUCAUCUAUUUUAAUACGCUUUAAACUUUAAUAAACAGAGUGAAGAUAAUUUAUUUAAAAUA